GGGUGGCGCUGUGGGUAAAACCUCAGCGCCUAGGACUUGCUGAUCGUCAGGUCGGCGGUUCGAAUCCCCGCGGCAGGGUGCGCUCCCGUUGCUUGGUCCCAGCGCCUGCCAACCUAGCAGUUCGAAAGCACCGCCAGGUGCAAGUAGAUAAAUAGGGACCGCUUUCUAGUAGGAAGGUAAACGGCGUUUCCGUGUGCUGCGCUGGCUUGCCAGAUGCAGCUUGUCAUGCUGGCCACAUGACCCAGAAGUGUCUUCAGACAGCGCUGGCCCCCGGCCUCUUAAGCGAGAUGGGCGCGCAACCCCAGAGUCGGACACGACUGGCCCGUAUGGGCAGGGGUACCUUUACUUUUACCUU